UUUUGAAUUAUUUUAGGUCCGAGUAAAGAUCCAAUGGGACGCUGAAUUAAACACAGGAUCCUUCAAUGUAAGAAGUCAAGGGUCUUUAAAUAACCAACAAUUGCUUCUUUUCGACACAGGGCUUAAAACAGAAACUGAAUGUAUACGAUGCAGUAUAAAUAUAAAGGGGAUUAUUUGGAAAAAUGAAAAUAAUCAAGCAUUCUGUACUAUGUGCUAUAUGAGGUUUGCAGAUGAAUUUAUUGGCAAGUUUACCUGGGAAUGUGGUAAAACGUUCUGUAAAGAAUUAUCCAGAAAAGAGGCACCUAACAAAUGGACAGACGUACUGUUGUU